rnacentral:rRNA from 1 species
UACAGAGGGUGCGAGCGUUGUUCGGAAUUACUGGGCGUAAAGCGCGCGCAGGCGGCCUUUUAAGUCUGACGGUGAAAUGCCGGGGCUCAACCCCGUGCCCGCCGGAGAUACUGGGAGGCUGGAGACGAGUAGAGGCAAGCGGAAUUCCGGGUGUAGCGGUGGAAUGCGUAGAGAUCCGGAAGAACACCGGAGGCGAAGGCGGCUUGCUGGGCUUUGUCUGACGCUGAGGCGCGAAAGCUAGGGGAGCAAACGGG